rnacentral:misc_RNA from 1 species
UUAUUUCUUUUGUUUGAUUCAGACACAAAGACUGACUUGUAGCAUAAAAACGACGCCUGAGCGCCGAAGCACAUAUAGCUUCCACAGGUUUGUAAGGUUGAAGGCACAGAGGCCAUUCAUUAAUGAUCCCUCCGCAGGUUCACCUACGGAGA